UACGUAGGGUGCAAGCGUUGCCCGGAUUUAUUGGGCGUAAAGGGCGCGUAGGCGGCUCUGCACGUUCGUUGUGAAAUCGCCCGGCUCAACUGGGCGGGGUCAGCGGAUACGGCAGAGCUUGAGCAAGCUAGGGGGCAAUGGAAUUCCCGGUGUAGUGGUGGAAUGCGUAGAUAUCGGGAGGAACACCUGUGGUGUAGACGGCUUACUGGACCAUUACUGACGCUGAGGCACGAAAGCGUGGGUAGCAAACAGG
rnacentral:rRNA from 1 species